rnacentral:tRNA from 1 species
CCGGCCCUGGCUGGGUCAGCGGCUCUGCUGCUGGCGGAGCAGGUCGCGGAUCUCGGUCAGCAGUUCGACAUCGGUGGGCUCGG